CCCAGAAUGGGGUCGCUUUUGUCGGGUCUCACUGUAUUCGAACCCCCGCAGUCAUAGAGAAGGCCUAGCAGCGGCUUGACUCCCCCGUCUCUCAGAUUCUUGGAGUAAGCGCUGCUCUCCAUUCUUCAUUCCCAGGGUACCUGCUUCUCCCAGUCCCUAACGUAGGUCGCCUCCGAGCACAGCCCUAAAAUCGGGGCCUCCCAAGGGCUAGACUAUGAGCCUUUACUGGUGGUUGCCAAGGUGUGGUAUCUCACCCGUCCUACAGGAACCAAAGCGGGGAGUGUGUUCAGUCAGUACCUGCCUUUCUGAGCCUGGCAUCCUGGACCAGCCUCACUUCCUUGGCUGAGGCAGACGCUGACCGGAAAGGAGAUUGAGAUUGACAUUGAACCUACAGACAAGGUGGAGCGAAUCAAGGAGCGUGUGGAGGAGAAAGAGGGAAUCCCCCCACAACAGCAGAGGCUCAUCUACAGUGGCAAGCAGAUGAAUGAUGAGAAGACAGCAGCUGAUUACAAGAUUUUAGGUGGUUCAGUCCUUCACCUGGUGUUGGCUCUGAGAGGAGGAGGUGGUCUUAGGCAGUGAUGGACCCUCCAUUUUACCUCUUUACCCUGUCGCUCAUAAUGAGGCAUCAUAUAUCCUCUCACUCUCUGGGACACCAUAGCCACUGCCCCCUCCCCUGGAUGCCCAGUAAUGUAUGUCUACUGGUGGGAGACUGUGAGGAUCCCAGGAUUCAGUAUUCCUGGCCCAGAGGGCCCUUGCUGGCUACUGGGUGUUAGUUUGCAGUCCUGUGUGCUUCCCUCUCUUAUGACUGUGUCCCUGGUUGUCAAUAAAAUAUUUCCUGGCCUCCUGG
rnacentral:lncRNA from 1 species